CCAACCCAGUCUCAUGUAAAAACGUACCCUGACUACGUUGGUCCAAUUUGCAAAACGUAGAGGAGUUACAAUAAUGGCCCUAGAAUUGUAUGACUGUUACAUUUUUUUUCGCCUAUUCUUUUAAUGGCCCUUGAAUUGUAUGACUCUUACGUUUUUUUUUUCGUCCAAGUCACGUGACUUUCAAGCUACCGGCCGUGAGAACAAAAAACAUGGCGGACAUUCUCUCAUUUUUAAUGGAAAAAUCUAUAUUUUGAGUUAGUUUCUGAAUAAAAAGAAGUUUUGAUUACAUUUCUAGCGAGAAAUAUAUACUUUAUUUUCAUAAUAUUCACUCAGUGAAUUUACAUAUUCAUCGCUUGCUUGAUUUUACGCAGAUUUUUCAGAUCUCGCCAGAAUAAUGUGAAACUGAUACGUUUUGGUUGCUAUGGACACUGCCAGGGCUCGUCACAUGACGUCUUUUAAAGACUUUAUUAAAACCGCGUUCAGCUACAGGUAAAACAACAUUCAGAGGUGAUUUUAACAACGCUCCACGGCGCGUGAGAGUAAGCAUUUUAAGCGUUUUCUGAUCAUGUAGGUGUGCCACUGUGGGUGGCUCCCGCACACCCCCGUGGCUACGCCCCUGCCGUGACCCAAAUCUCGUUCUCACAUCAUCGCGAUGUUUAUCAUCUAUUUACAAACGUAGCCAGUCGCCACAUCUUUAUUAGCCUAUCCCCUGUAUGUCAUCGAUGCGCUACUUCAAAGAUGUGAGGAAAAGAACAUACACCUGCGAGUAGUCUGUUACAUUGCCUGUGUUAUUGCCUCACAUUUGCAGAAAUCAGGGGAGGGCAUAUCACACAACAUUGCAUUGGCCGUACCAGCAUUUCAUGUUUAUGGACACAUAUUCCCCUGCCAGAUCAAGUACAGUACCAGAUGGCUUGAUGGGUUUGGGCUCACAGACGGGGAAGGAAUGGAAAGGCUGUGGUCUUUCCUCCAAAGAUUUGCCAGAGUCACAAAGGAGAUGACUCCAUCUCAUCGCCUUGACCUACUGACUGAUGCCCUUUUGCAUUAGGGACGGAGGAAAUCAACUGACCUAGGUGCAGCUACUGCAAAGAGUAGACAAAGCAGAGAAAAUAUUGAUUCUUGCUCAGGAAGAUAUCUCAUGUCAUCAGAGAGGCACCAGGUAAACAAUGCACAUAAGAAGCAGUGUUGAUUUCUGAAGGAGACAUGGAGAGAUGGAAAAAGCUAGCCCAACAGAAACCAAUAAACACUGUCUGUAGAUGGAAAAGGGACUACAUCAUCAGACUGAUUCAGUUCUACAAGUUCAAAAUUGAGGACUCUGCUGAACAUUGAGGAAAAAAUACCGUAUCGGGAGAAGAUGGCAAGAGUCUGAUUCAAACUUCCAGUCUACCCUUAAAGAUGUGGACCGUGAGCUCAGAGUCCAACUGUAAGGCUAGAACUGAAUCAAGGGAGAGAGCAGUCGUCCUCCACCUGAGAAGAAUAUAUCCAGCUUUGCUUCAGAUGGGCAGGGCAUUGCCAUUAGACUCUCCAAGCAGGUAGCCAAUUGAUUUUCAGGAAUCAUGUGAUCCCUCUUGGCAUGUCUACUUCUGCUUUAAUGACACUAUUGAAGAAGAUGAUGUUUCGAGGAGUCUAAAAAGGCGAGGGAUUGAUGCCUUACAUAUGAAGACUCGGGCAGCUGAGAAAAAGUGCGUGCUUUACCAGGAAAUGAGAAGUCUAAGGGGCCAGUCACACCAAAAGCGUUUAUGGCAGUUGCAGGCGCCUUUUUUGAAUGAUAUUCUAUGGGCAGGGCGCGUUUGCGCGCUGUUUAUGAGCGCCUUGCUGUUUUUUGCCGCCUGCCACGCACGCAUUUUUGAAGGAGCGCUGAGAGCGGAGAAGCGCCCGACGUCAUUCGCGUCUUUCCAUUGUCCAAUCGAAUGAGGGGAGAGGCGGGCCUUACGUUGUGGUGAGUGAAGUUUACAGUUGCUUUGAAGAACCGGAAUCCACUCGCUCACUCUCUCCUGCGUGUUUGUGCACCCCUCACCCUCAAACAAGGUCAGAGCAAGCGCCCUCUUUUUAAAGUUUCUGCUAAUAUGACAGUUAACAGCAAAAGAGCGCUCACGCUUCAAUAUUUGAUUGACAAGACAGCUGACUCGGUGGUUGCUUAGCAAUAUGAAAAGCCGCGUCGCACUGCUCUUUUUUUAAAAAAAGGCAGUGCGUCGCGCCUUGUGUUUGCAAGCGUUUAAAGCGCUUUUGGUGUGACUGGCUCCUAACUGAACACCCCAUCAGCAGCAGGCCUCUAACAUUUGUGCUCUAACAUCAAAGACACUGAGCAGCCUGGUGCAAAAGCUGCUCUCAUUCAACACCUCCAACACCUGGAAAGAAAACUACAUCAAGCCAUUGUGAUGUUUCACCCACAUCUAUCGGACAUUGUUCCUGCAGACAACCCCCACUUGUGUCAGGCCCUCCCCAUGCCAAGCAUACAGACACUGGUAUACAAUGAUAAGAGUGAUAAUGAUGAAAAUGUGGAUAAAUAUGAUAACUAGCACUACAGAUUUUUUGUUAAUUUUUAGUCUGAUAUUGUAUUCUGUAAAAAGAAAGAUGUAAAAUGUAUAGUAUAUGUUGCAGCAUAUCAUAGAAACCUUUAUGGUGGUGUAAUAUAAUGUUCGCCUUACUUGUGCAAACAUGAUGUUUUACUAGAUCUGAUUUAUUAUUAAACGUAGGUACUGUUUUUAAGCACACAUAUUCACACUAGUCUGUGUGAGGACAAAAUUGUGUGUUUACCAUUGUGAUGUUACUUAUUUACUGUAAUGUACAAAUGUGGUCAAUGUGUGUAAGGUGUUUUGUUUUUGAAUCUUUUUAAACAAAUA